UACGUAGGGGGCAAGCGUUGUCCGGAUUCAUUGGGCGUAAAGAGCGUGUAGGCGGCCAGGUAGGUCGGUUGUGAAAACUGGAGGCUCAACCUUCAGAGGUCGACCGAAACCAUCUGGCUAGAGUCCGGGAGAGGAGAGUGGAAUUCCUGGUGUAGCGGUGAAAUGCGCAGAUAUCAGGAGGAACACCGGCGGCGAAGGCGGUUCUCUGGGCAUUACCUGACGCUGAGGAGCGAAAGUGUGGGGAGCGAACAGG
rnacentral:rRNA from 1 species